rnacentral:rRNA from 1 species
AGAUUAAGUUAUUAAGGGCGCACGGUGGAUGCCUUGGCACUAGAAGCCGAUGAAGGACGUUACUAACGACGAUAUGCUUUGGGGAGCUGUAAGUAAGCUUUGAUCCAGAGAUUUCCGAAUGGGGAAACCCAGCAUGAGUUAUGUCAUGUUAUCGAUAUGUGAAUACAUAGCAUAUCAGAAGGCACACCCGGAGAACUGAAACAUCUUAGUACCCGGAGGAAGAGAAAGAAAAUUCGAUUCCCUUAGUAGCGGCGAGCGAAACGGGAAGAGCCCAAACCAACAAGCUUGCUUGUUGGGGUUGUAGGACACUCUAUACGGAGUUACAAAGGACGACAUUAGACGAAUCAUCUGGAAAGAUGAAUCAAAGAAGGUAAUAAUCCUGUAGUCGAAAAUGUUGUCUCUCUUGAGUGGAUCCUGAGUACGACGGAGCACGUGAAAUUCCGUCGGAAUCUGGGAGGACCAUCUCCUAAGGCUAAAUACUCUCUAGUGACCGAUAGUGAACCAGUACCGUGAGGGAAAGGUGAAAAGCACCCCGGAAGGGGAGUGAAAUAGAACCUGAAACCGUGUGCUUACAAGUAGUCAGAGCCCGUUAAUGGGUGAUGGCGUGCCUUUUGUAGAAUGAACCGGCGAGUUACGAUUUGAUGCAAGGUUAAGCAGUAAAUGUGGAGCCGUAGCGAAAGCGAGUCUGAAUAGGGCGUUUAGUAUUUGGUCGUAGACCCGAAACCAGGUGAUCUACCCUUGGUCAGGUUGAAGUUCAGGUAACACUGAAUGGAGGACCGAACCGACUUACGUUGAAAAGUGAGCGGAUGAACUGAGGGUAGCGGAGAAAUUCCAAUCGAACCUGGAGAUAGCUGGUUCUCUCCGAAAUAGCUUUAGGGCUAGCCUCAAGUGAUGAUUAUUGGAGGUAGAGCACUGUUUGGACGAGGGGCCCCUCUCGGGUUACCGAAUUCAGACAAACUCCGAAUGCCAAUUAAUUUAACUUGGGAGUCAGAACAUGGGUGAUAAGGUCCGUGUUCGAAAGGGAAACAGCCCAGACCACCAGCUAAGGUCCCAAAAUAUAUGUUAAGUGGAAAAGGAUGUGGCGUUGCCCAGACAACUAGGAUGUUGGCUUAGAAGCAGCCAUCAUUUAAAGAGUGCGUAAUAGCUCACUAGUCGAGUGACACUGCGCCGAAAAUGUACCGGGGCUAAACAUAUUACCGAAGCUGUGGAUUGUCCUUUGGACAAUGGUAGGAGAGCGUUCUAAGGGCGUUGAAGCAUGAUCGUAAGGACAUGUGGAGCGCUUAGAAGUGAGAAUGCCGGUGUGAGUAGCGAAAGACGGGUGAGAAUCCCGUCCACCGAUUGACUAAGGUUUCCAGAGGAAGGCUCGUCCGCUCUGGGUUAGUCGGGUCCUAAGCUGAGGCCGACAGGCGUAGGCGAUGGAUAACAGGUUGAUAUUCCUGUACCACCUAUAAUCGUUUUAAUCGAUGGGGGGACGCAGUAGGAUAGGCGAAGCGUGCGAUUGGAUUGCACGUCUAAGCAGUAAGGCUGAGUAUUAGGCAAAUCCGGUACUCGUUAAGGCUGAGCUGUGAUGGGGAGAAGACAUUGUGUCUUCGAGUCGUUGAUUUCACACUGCCGAGAAAAGCCUCUAGAUAGAAAAUAGGUGCCCGUACCGCAAACCGACACAGGUAGUCAAGAUGAGAAUUCUAAGGUGAGCGAGCGAACUCUCGUUAAGGAACUCGGCAAAAUGACCCCGUAACUUCGGGAGAAGGGGUGCUCUUUAGGGUUAACGCCCAGAAGAGCCGCAGUGAAUAGGCCCAAGCGACUGUUUAUCAAAAACACAGGUCUCUGCUAAACCGUAAGGUGAUGUAUAGGGGCUGACGCCUGCCCGGUGCUGGAAGGUUAAGAGGAGUGGUUAGCUUCUGCGAAGCUACGAAUCGAAGCCCCAGUAAACGGCGGCCGUAACUAUAACGGUCCUAAGGUAGCGAAAUUCCUUGUCGGGUAAGUUCCGACCCGCACGAAAGGCGUAACGAUUUGGGCACUGUCUCAACGAGAGACUCGGUGAAAUCAUAGUACCUGUGAAGAUGCAGGUUACCCGCGACAGGACGGAAAGACCCCGUGGAGCUUUACUGUAGCCUGAUAUUGAAAUUCGGCACAGCUUGUACAGGAUAGGUAGGAGCCUUUGAAACGUGAGCGCUAGCUUACGUGGAGGCGCUGGUGGGAUACUACCCUAGCUGUGUUGGCUUUCUAACCCGCACCACUUAUCGUGGUGGGAGACAGUGUCAGGCGGGCAGUUUGACUGGGGCGGUCGCCUCCUAAAAGGUAACGGAGGCGCUCAAAGGUUCCCUCAGAAUGGUUGGAAAUCAUUCAUAGAGUGUAAAGGCAUAAGGGAGCUUGACUGCGAGACCUACAAGUCGAGCAGGGUCGAAAGACGGACUUAGUGAUCCGGUGGUUCCGCAUGGAAGGGCCAUCGCUCAACGGAUAAAAGCUACCCCGGGGAUAACAGGCUUAUCUCCCCCAAGAGUUCACAUCGACGGGGAGGUUUGGCACCUCGAUGUCGGCUCAUCGCAUCCUGGGGCUGUAGUCGGUCCCAAGGGUUGGGCUGUUCGCCCAUUAAAGCGGUACGCGAGCUGGGUUCAGAACGUCGUGAGACAGUUCGGUCCCUAUCCGUCGUGGGCGUAGGAAAUUUGAGAGGAGCUGUCCUUAGUACGAGAGGACCGGGAUGGACAUACCUCUGGUGUACCAGUUGUCGUGCCAACGGCAUAGCUGGGUAGCUAUGUGUGGACGGGAUAAGUGCUGAAAGCAUCUAAGCAUGAAGCCCCCCUCAAGAUGAGAUUUCCCAACUUCGGUUAUAAGAUCCCUCAAAGAUGAUGAGGCUG